GAUGAAGAACGUAGCGAAAUGCGAUAAGUAAUGUGAAUUGCAGAAUUCAGUGAAUCAUCGAAUCUUUGAACGCACAUUGCGCCCGCCAGUAUUCUGGCGGGCAUGCCUGUUCGAGCGUCAUUUCAACCAUCAAGCCCCCGGGCUUGUGUUGGGGACCUGCGGCUGCCGCAGGCCCUGAAAAGCAGUGGCGGGCUCGCUGUCACACCGAGCGUAGUAGCAUACAUCUCGCUCUGGGCGUGCUGCGGGUUCCGGCCGUUAAACUACCCUUUUAACCCAAGGUUGUCCUCGGAUCAGGUAGGAAGACCCGCUGAACUUAAGCAUAUCAAUAAGCGGAGGA
rnacentral:misc_RNA from 1 species